rnacentral:rRNA from 1 species
UCGAACGGAGCUGAGAGGAGCUUGCUUUUCUUAGCUUAGUGGCGAACGGGUGAGUAACGCGUGAGUAACCUGCCCUGGAGUGGGGGACAACAGUUGGAAACGACUGCUAAUACCGCAUAAGCCCACGAUCCGGCAUCGGAUUGAGGGAAAAGGAUUUAUUCGCUUCAGGAUGGACUCGCGUCCAAUUAGCUAGUUGGUGAGGUAACGGCCCACCAAGGCGACGAUUGGUAGCCGGACUGAGAGGUUGAACGGCCACAUUGGGACUGAGACACGGCCCAGACUCCUACGGGAGGCAGCAGUGGGGGAUAUUGCACAAUGGGGGAAACCCUGAUGCAGCGACGCCGCGUGGAGGAAGAAGGUUUUCGGAUUGUAAACUCCUGUCGUUAGAGACGAUAAUGACGGUACCUAACAAGAAAGCACCGGCUAACUACGUGCCAGCAGCCGCGGUAAAACGUAGGGUGCAAGCGUUGUCCGGAAUUACUGGGUGUAAAGGGAGCGCAGGCGGACCGGCAAGUUGGAAGUGAAAACUAUGGGCUCAACCCAUAAAUUGCUUUCAAAACUGCUGGCCUUGAGUAGUGCAGAGGUAGGUGGAAUUCCCGGUGUAGCGGUGGGAUGCGUAGAUAUCGGGAGGAACACCAGUGGCGAA